GAUGAACGCUGGCGGCGUGCCUAAUACAUGCAAGUCGAGCGAACGGACGAGAAGCUUGCUUCUCUGAUGUUAGCGGCGGACGGGUGAGUAACACGUGGAUAACCUACCUAUAAGACUGGGAUAACUUCGGGAAACCGGAGCUAAUACCGGAUAAUAUUUUGAACCGCAUGGUUCAAAAGUGAAAGACGGUCUUGCUGUCACUUAUAGAUGGAUCCGCGCUGCAUUAGCUAGUUGGUAAGGUAACGGCUUACCAAGGCAACGAUGCAUAGCCGACCUGAGAGGGUGAUCGGCCACACUGGAACUGAGACACGGUCCAGACUCCUACGGGAGGCAGCAGUAGGGAAUCUGCCGCAAUGGGCGAAAGCCUGACGGAGCAACGCCGCGUGAGUGAUGAAGGUCUUCGGAGCGUAAAACUCUGUUAUUAGGGAAGAACAUAUGUGUAAGUAACUGUGCACAGCGUGACGGUACCUAAUCAGAAAGCCACGGCUAACUACGUG
rnacentral:rRNA from 1 species